AUAUAUAAAUAUAAUUGUACUGUCCCUGCAUGCCAGGCAUGAGAAAUUGUCUUAAUAUUUAAAGUUUUUGGUUGUAUUAAAUCUUUAGGAAAAUCACAAUAAUCACAUCUCUAUGCUUCUCAUUUGCCAGAGCCAGCGCCUUAUUCGAACUUUCAUUUCCACCUUAAAUAUUACAGCGGUUUCAUUCGUGUGUAGGAAUUACGCGCAUGGACGCCUGUACAUAAUCCCCCUUUUUAAGGUGGACAGGCUUACUGAAACUGAGACGCUGGCGAAUAGGAACCCAACUCUCCCCUCCUCGCUGCCAGUGACGGUAAAGGCAGAUAAGAAAGGGGUUAAGUGAGCGUAUGGCGAGACAGAAAAGACCAGUCCACACGUUCUCACUGCCAUGACUGACUGACUGACUGCCUGCAGCCAGCGCCUCGAAGAAAACCCUGCAGCUAACCCGCUCCAGCUGCAGCCAAGUUAAAGCAAAGUGAGAGGGAAUGGCUGACCCAGAAAAGUGCUGUUUACUAGCUCAGACGAAGAGAGAUGAUUUAAAUAUGGAUCAGAUUUCAACAACUACUGGGACCCAAUGACCUGGAUAGAAAUACACAUUUAAUUCACAAUACAAUAUGCUGUGGAAAGGAGCUGAGCUUCUGCUUGUGAUAAUAUUUCACCUACAUUUAGCUCAGAGCUCAGAGCAUCCUCCUCCAAUUACAAACAGUGAGCUGUUCCCAGGUGUAGUGUACACACCUGGACCAUCAUACCUGAGUCUGAUCCUGCUGGCGUUUACUGUAGGACUGUCUGGUAGUAUUUACCUGUGUGUGCUGCGCUACAUAUGUGCCGGUUGCUGCCAGCCUGUAGUAGUGGGUCCGGAAACUGAAACUCUGUCUGGAGUGGUCUAAAAAUACACUUAAGAUUAUUAUUAAGAAGAUUAUAAAUGAAUCAUGAAUCAAUCACCUUAAUUUUUAAGAGUGUAUUGAUGCUGGGUGUUGUUGUACUGAUUUGAUGUUCUUUUUCUCAGAUAGUUUUUUUUUUUUUACAGAAAUACUAGUACAAGACUGGUUUAUAGAAAUGGACAAAUGUAAGCAUUGCAGUGAUUAUUGGAGAUUAUGUAAUGAGUGAAAGAUGAUUGCAUUAUUUUAAUUAUUCUUUGUAUGACACCGAUUGAUUUUUCACUGAGAACGGCACAGCCAGGGUGCUUAUUUCUUUGAGAGCCUUUGCUAUAAAAAAUAUAUAAAUACUGUAACUGACCUCACACUGCACUCUGGAUGCCUAAUAACAAUGGGUAAUAGCAGCAGUAAUAAUAGUCAUUACGGACACAAAAACAGUCAUUAUUGACGCAGUUACAGCAGAUUGUCCUCACACCUGUCAGUCGGGUCACAUGUCGUGUACAUAAUGCUGAAAUCUUUCAGGGGUGUUUGGCCCCAAUAACCAGUUUUGAUUGACAGGUUGCCCUCUGGGGAGGUGAUCCACAGCCUGUAGCUACUGUUGCCAUGAGGAGCCAGUUGCCAUGACAAUACUUCUCUCUACCUGCCUCUAGAUGGGGCUGCUCUAUUACCAAUGUGAUGAUCAGGGUUUUCAUAGAUACAUAAAUGCAGUAUUGAACUGGACUGAUAUUGAUGAGUACUAUACAGGUUAUAUAGGUUCACAGUGUACACAAUGUUAAGACCAAUGCUAAGAUUCACCUUUUGUUAAAAAUCAAUUAUACACAUAUACUAACUUGUAUAUAUUAUAUAUUUAUUUAGAUAAAUGGUUUUAAAAACUAUUCUAAGCUUUGCUACUAAUAGUACCAUAUUAAGGUUCUCAUUUCAUACAAGCAUCUUACAUUAAACUAAACUUUUUUCCAGAGAUUAAUUUAAUAAAAAAAAAUUGAUAGAUAAAUUUUAACAUGUUAUAUACACUAUUAUACAUUUUUCAGCCUCUUUUCAUGCCAUUCUCAUCCCAAUUAUAGAUAGAUUUCUGCACCUAUCUGAUUAUUUAACUAAUCAUGUAAACAGCGAUUUUUAAGAUCUACAAAUCGGAUAAAGAAAUCUUAUAAAUAGAGCUGGAUUUUAGAUCAGUAAUCACAUUUUUCAGUCCAUGUAUAAUGGAUAAUGGUAUCAGAAAUAACACACUAUUUUUUUUGUUAUUCUUCUUUUAGGAAAUAUGUAAAGCUCUGAUUAGCUACAAUGUUUGUGCCUCAUUCAAAAGCAAUUAUAUUAUAUUAAAUAUGAAUUAUAUUAAACACAUGUUUUU